CAGUGCAGUAGCAAGUCGCUCGCACGACGCUUCCCAGCCAUCAGCCUCUCCUCUCUUCCGCUUCCCCAUAGCCCGGGUCAACGCGCCUCCUGCCGGAUCGAGUUUCAGCGGUUCCCUGCAUCUCCCACGAACUCCUGGUGGUCAGAUCCGCCGCCACUCCGGCGGCGGCCCCUGGUGGAGAUGACGUGAACCUCGGCUAGCUCCGGAUCUGGAGGUGGUAGCCGGCAACGAGCAGCAAGAUUUGACGGCGGCAAGCAUCCCCACAGAGUCUUUGCAUCCACAGCUGAAGAAUCAUUUCUACACGGCACACGACAGAGGGAGGGAGAGACAGAGAGCAUAUGGCUGGUGCUAUAGUGAGUGCUUCAACGGGUGUGAUAAGCACCCUGAUUCCCAAGCUCUCCCGGUUGAUAGAAGGGGAGUACAACCUUCAGAAUGGUGUGAAGAGCAAGAUCAACUUUCUAAAGGAUGAGCUGAGCAGUAUGCAAACCCUACUUAUGAAGCUGAGCAACAACGAGGAGAGGUUGGAUGUGCAGGAGAAGGACUGGAGGAACAAGGUCUGCAUCGACCUCUUCAUGCACAAGAUGAGCAAAGAUGGCACUGAAGCCAACCUUGUCAAGAAGACAAUAAGUAAGAUUAAGAAUAUAUGGUCACGCCACAAAAUGGCUAAUCUAAUUGAAGAACUCAAGACUCGUGUUGAGGAAGAAGGACAUCGCCGCAAGAGAUACAGGUUUGAUGAACCUGCUAGCCAGGUCGUUCAAAUUGAUCCUCAGCUGCCAGCACUUUUUGUGGAAGCAGAGAGACUUGUUGGGAUUGAUGGUCCAAGGGAGCAGGUCAUCGAGUUGAUGAAAGAAGAUGACUAUGGAAAGCAACUCAAAGUUGUAUCCAUUGUGGGGUUUGGAGGUCUUGGCAAGACAACUCUUGCAAACCAAGUUUAUCAGAAAAUCAAAGGUCAAUUUGAUUGCUCAUGUUUUGUGCCAGUUUCACGAAAUCCUAACAUAGCAAAGAUAUAAACUGAUAUGCUCAAAGAACUAGGGAGUUGUAUUGAUCCAUCAGAUGAUGAGCGACAACUCAUAGACAAGCUUAGAGCAUUCUUACAAGAUAAGAGGUACUUCAUCAUUGUUGAUGAUAUUUGGAGCACACAAGCCUGGGAACUUGUUAAAUCUGCUCUACCUGAGAACAAUUUAAACAGCAGAAUAAUUACAACCACAAGAAUUGACAUUGUAGCUGAAUCAUGCUGCUCCAGUUUAACAGGAUAUGUCCACAAGAUUAAACCUCUAAGCGACCAGCAACACAUCAACUAUUUUUCAAGAGGGUUUUUGGAGAUGCCUCUGCGUGCCCUCCUCACUUUGAAGAAAUGUCUCAUGGAAUCCUUAAAAAGUGUCAUGGUUUGCCAUUAGCUACUAUCACUAUAGCAAGCCUGCUUGCUGGGAAAUCCAACAGGGAUGAAUGGGAACAAGUGUACAAUUCUAUUAGUUCUGCUUUUAGUCACCAAGGAAUGAGAGAUAUACUUCUCCUUAGCUAUUAUGACCUCCCACACCAUCUAAAGACUUGCUUGCUAUAUCUUAGUAUGUUUCGAGAGGAUUACGAGAUUUACACGGAAGAGCUAAUAUGGAGGUGGGUAGCCAAAGGAUUCAUCACUAAAGUGAAGGAUCAAUCAGCAGAUCAAGUCACUGAGAAUUACUUCAAUGAGCUUGUAAACAGAAGCUUGAUCCAACCAAUAUACAUCCAGUAUGACGGCCGGGCAUGUGCUUGUCGAGUGCAUGAUAUGGUGCUUGAGCUCAUCGUGUCACUGUCAAAAGAUGGGAAUUUUUCCAGCAUAGUGGAAGACCAAAGCUACAAAGUAGGUGGUCACACGAUUCGUAGGCUCUCUGUACAAUCUGAACAUUUGGGAGAUGAAGUAAUACAGGAGAUUAUGGAUAAGUGGUCGCAGGUUCGUUCCAUUAGCUUUUAUGGAUUGCAGGAGCAAGGAAUCCCUCAUCUGCAAGAGCUGUAUUCCUUGAGAGUACUGGUUUUUUUUAUUAUAGCAGCCAUCUUGGUAACCAACACGUUAAACAUAUAGGAAGCUUUUUCCGGCUAACAUUUUUGUGCAUCGCUUGUAGAGAAGUUACUGAGCUUCCAGAGGGUAUCGGAGACCUGAGGUAUCUCCAGACACUGGAUAUAGGGGGGAGUGGAAUUAGAAAUUGCCACCGUCCAUAGGCCGUUUGCAAAAAUUGGUGCGUCUUCUUGUAUCCAAUACUGUAAAGUUGCCUGAUGAGGUUGGAGAUCUACAAGCCUUGCAGGAGUUGACGACUAUAUAUCAGUACUCCAUAAAAUUGGUGGAAGCGCUUAGACACUUGACCAAGCUGAAGAAGCUUGGCAUAGAUAUGCUUAACAGAUGGCAACUUGGUUGUGAUACGGAACAGUACGAGGAAGCUUUUAAGUCAUCUCUCGCUGCGAUGGGUAAACAUGGGCUUCAAUCACUACGUGUUACCAAAUAUGAUAUCCUGGAAGAAGAACUGAUGGAUAUAUUGUGCUGCACUGUUCCAUGUCUCCGGGAGCUUGUCGUAGACGGUCCUAGUAUCACUCGCCUUCCAAAGCAGAUUGUGUCUCUUGUUAAUCUCACUUAUCUUAGACUAUGUAUUGAAAGGAUCAAACAGGAAGAUCUCUGCAUCCUUGGGGCCAUACCUACUCUGCUCUCCGCAGAUUUAUCGGCAGCGCAUGCCCCUGAUGAACGGCUUACCAUAAGAAGUCAACAAUUCCGGUGCCUCAAGGAGUUUAGAUUCUGGAUUCAUCAUGCUCAAGAUGGCCUGGAGAUGUUAUUUUUAGUGGAAGCGAUGCCAGAGCUCCGAAGGUUAUAUUUAGAUCUUGUGUUUGUAGCGAUGGAAACAGAGUCCAAGAUGGGGUUUGAGUUCAGCUUCGAGCAGCUUGCAAGCCUGGAGCACAACGGUGUCAGAAUCUUGCCUAAUAAUGUCACCAGGAGCGGGGUGGAGGCUGCAGAAGCUGCUAUCAGGAAUGCAGUCAGCAUCCACCCUGGACAGCCCACACUUGAUCUAAAGGUUGAAGGCACCACGAUAGAGGAUAAGGACGAGGGAGAGGACAGGUCAGGACACGGAAUGGCUGAGGUUCUCGAGGAGGAUCCGUAGCGGAAUGUACCGGAGUUUGCAAGGCAGAAGAACUCAAGCUGCUCAUUUGUAAAACGAGAUCACCGUGAGCUCUAAAUUGAAGGGCGCUUCUUGCAAUCUUGCUUCAAUAACACUUUUACUCGUAUUCACUGAAUAUGGUGGACUCAUCCGUAACCAUAUUAGCUUCUCCAAGACAAAGAGACUUUCUUUGAUGUUGCAUCGGUUAUAUUGGGCAACAUUAAAAAACCAGUUCAAAGCUGGCCAUACGACAUUGGCAUGGGAACGGUGUCACAGAGGUUGUAGGCUUCUAUAACAGUAUUCAGUUUUGUUAUGCUUGAUGCUUUGUGUAUUUUAAUUUCUUCUGUAUCAUUGGAGCAAUCCUUCAGCAACGAUAAUGUUCUUCGAUGUUCUCUCUAUUUUUGUUUCCCAACUAUGUUGAAUUCCUACCGGUCAAGGCUUUUGGACAAGGAUUUAUUUAGUAAUUCAAAUGCAAAUGGUUUAUAUGUGCCACUA